rnacentral:rRNA from 1 species
GACGAACGCUGGCGGCGUGCCUAAUACAUGCAAGUCGAACGAGAGCGACCGGUGCUUGCACUGGUCAAUCUAGUGGCGAACGGGUGAGUAACACGUGGGUAACCUGCCCAUCAGAGGGGGAUAACAUCCGGAAACGGAUGCUAAAACCGCAUAGGUCUUCGAACCGCAUGGUUUGAAGAGGAAAAGAGGCGCAAGCUUCUGCUGAUGGAUGGACCCGCGGUGCAUUAGCUAGUUGGUGAGGUAACGGCUCACCAAGGCCGUGAUGCAUAGCCGACCUGAGAGGGUGAUCGGCCACAUUGGGACUGAGACACGGCCCAAACUCCUACGGGAGGCAGCAGUAGGGAAUCUUCCGCAAUGGACGCAAGUCUGACGGAGCAACGCCGCGUGAGUGAAGAAGGUUUUCGGAUCGUAAAACUCUGUUGUUAGAGAAGAGCAAGUGCUAGAGUAACUGUUAGCGCCUUGACGGUAUCUAACCAGAAAGCCACGGCUAACUGCGUG